UUGGCUUGGGGGAGUUGGGGAGGGGGAGGAGUGGAGUUCGAACUCAGGACCUCACUGUUCACACACAGGAGAUCGCACCGCUUGAUGUACCCUUGAAGACUUUAUUUAGUUUUCAUGAACACGACUAUAAUUAUUAGUAAAAUAAGUAAGGCAUAAUUAAUCCAUCGAGUGGAGCGUUGCCCAGUUGGCCUAAAAAGUGGUUUCCAAUUUGGAACUCCAUUCCUAUAUAUUUUCCCUCUAC
rnacentral:lncRNA from 1 species